rnacentral:rRNA from 1 species
UACGUAGGGGGCAAGCGUUGUCCGGAUUUAUUGGGCGUAAAGAGCGUGUAGGCGGCCAUACAGGUCCGUUGUGAAAACUGGAGGCUUAACCUCCAGACGUCGAUGGAAACCGUAUGGCUAGAGUCCGGAAGAGGAGAGUGGAAUUCCUGGUGUAGCGGUGAAAUGCGCAGAUAUCAGGAAGAACACCAAUGGCGAAGGCAGCUCUCUGGGACGGUACUGACGCUGAGACGCGAAAGCGUGCGGAGCGAACAGG